UUUUUUUUUUUUUUUUUUUUUUUUUUUUUUUCUGUUAAACUUGUGCCUCUCUAAUUUUCUCCUCCCGGACCUCUGCAGAAAGCAGAUCCGAGUUUGCUUGAUAGUUCAAACAAUUAAACUUUGGGAAACUUACUGAAACUGGUGUUAACAUAGAAUUUUACUCUGCUUUUUUUCAUACCCCUCCCCCAUCGUGUAUCUUUGAUUUAUCAAAUGUCGAAGAGAAAUUAGUGUUUUCCUUUGUGUGGACCCCAAUUUACAGGCACUCAUGCCUGGAAUUGGAUAACGAUAGAGACUUCUGGUGCGUCAGUGAGCAGAGAGGAUUUAACCGCAAGGAUACCAGUGAAGCUUCUUACGCACUAAAGCACUUCAGAAUGAAAUGGUUACUGCACUGCAAGACGGACUUCCUCUUACUGUUCCUCUUUUCUCAAACAGAUCUGUAUCAAGACGACUGAUUACAUACUCACUCAUAAGCAGGAAGAGCACUGCUUAAUCUCCGGUUACAUGAUGGCACGCUUACGUUGGAAGCAAUCUGUAAAUGGGGUUAGGCUACUCUGCAGUCCUUAAGGUUUCUGCUUUGUGUUUGACAAAGUGGUUUAUUUUUAGAAUGAAAAAUAAUCCUUUAAGUCUCUUCCUGGUCUGAGCUCACAGUGACUGCUCAGAUUUCGCUCAUAGUGGAGAUUACGAGGUCAGCUGUAGUAAAAUGGGCUCCUGACAUGUGAGCAAGAAAAUCCAGAACAGUCAAGUGGAAAUAUUGGAUUGUAGAAUAUUUUUUUAAACGAAAGGGACCAAUCCCUUUUGUAAUUGAUCAUCAGUUUUGUAGUUUGUGUAUGUCUGCCAGUCAAAAUUAUGAGAUAAUCUUUUCCAAAACAAGAUGUUCUAGUUUUAAUAACAAUAUUUUCUUGUGUAUAUAUGCUACAUUUAUUUAUUUAUUUAUUUAUUUAUUUAUUUAUUUAUUUAUUUAUUUAUCUCUGUAGCUUAACUCAUAUGUUAUAAACACCAAAUUCUUGGAAUGUUUUAUGGCAGCUCACUAUUUACAUGCUUUAAUAUUUAUUUUCCAAAUUCUUGUUUAACAUUGAUGCUACUAUUACCUCCAUGAAUUAGCACAGUACAGAUGACACAACAAGACAAAACAGCAGUAACAAAAACACCAAAAUGGGUUCAUAAUAGUCUUUUAAUUAGAUAGAGAUAUUAUCAUAAAUGAACCCACAUCACUGUUUUUAGGCAGUAAGUGGAUAUUUGGCUUUGUUAUUACUAAUUUAAAUUUAUAUAUUUUUAUUUUAUGUGCCUUUUUAUUUUUCCUCCAUGUAUAUAUGUGAACUAUGUUUGUAUUUGGUGUCUAGAGUGGCCAGAAGAUGUGUCAGAUCCCCUAGGACUAAGUUACAGAAGAUUAUGAGCCAUUUCAUGGGUCCUAGGAUCUGACCCUGGAUCCUCUGCAAGGGUUCUUACCGACCAAGAUGUCUAUCUCUCCAUCCCUAUAGGUGCAUAUUUUAUGUGACAGUGUCUUCAUAUACAUAGAUACACACACACAUACAUACAUACAUAGAUAUGUACAUUCAUAUAUAGAGAAAUAUAUAUGCAUUAUGUUAAAACAGAUGCAGAAAAUUUAAAAGCUUGUGUUACUUGUUUUUCUUUAUAUCCAUUUCUAUGUUUUGGAAUGAACCUUCUAUGAAAGUAUGGCAGAUAGAGCAUUGAUAAAAAUAUGCUAUCAAAUCACAGACUGAAUGCAAAUUGCCUUUUAUGUUUGUUAUAUGUCGUCAAUUAAAAGAAAUGUGAGCACUAAAUAGCAGAUUACUUUACUACAUACAGUGUCCUGAUGUUCUUUGUAUCUGAAAUUUUUUCUACAAAGCUAUGUUUUUACAGUCAGAGUUUUAUUUCUAUUUUUUACCUCUUUUCAUAGGAAGGCUGCCAUCAUGACAGCAUAAGCAUCUUUAUAGACAAGUUAACAAGAGUCAUUUACUCAGAGAGAUGUGAAGCAGGGUAAAUAAGAUUAGCAGAUGCAUUUUGCACAUUGCACUGCAGUGGGUACCAGUUCUGAAUCUAACUCAACCAUUUGGUGCUGCUGGAUCACGUGAUAAAUGAAUAAUCAAUCAGAUCCAAAGAUAACUUCCACAGUGACUAAGUUAUAAUGCCAUGUAUAACAUGAAGACAGAAGAGCAAAUAAUGUAUAAGGACAUGAGGAAGGAGUGAAUGCAGGCUACAGACAGAAAUUUUGAAAGAGGACAUCAAUCUAUUUUUUAUAUUUCUAAUUCUGUCACAGAUAUUUUGGUAUGGUAGUGGGUAAGUGAGUAAAAUACACUUGAAACUGUAAGUACACAAUUUCAGUGCAAAGCUUCACAGCUUCCAUUUUUAUGGCAAUUAUAAUUAUGUAUUCAAUUAUUAAAUUUUAUAGAAGUUGAAUCUGAAAUUUUGAAUAUUUAAUGUUUUUAUUUACCUACAAUUUUCUUAUAUUUUAUUUUACAUUUUUCAAAAAAUAUAGAGCAUUAUGGACCCUACAGUCCUAACUACCAACUGAUACUGUGUGGCAGUAAGUCAUGAACUGUGUGUGUGAAGGUGUCUUCUAUAUUUUAUUAUGUUUAAAAAUACAUAUAUCUUACCAGCUAACUACCGGCUAACAGCUAAUUAUUUAUAAGAUGAAUUCAUACUUGGGAAAACUAUUAGAAAUAUUAAGUCAUUCUCCAUUUUAAAAAUAACUUAAAAUUUUUAAUAAAGUAAAUUUUAAGAAGAAACCUUGGAUAAAGCUGUUUCCACGUGCACAAAUGAACAAUUAUGUUCUUUAGUCUGAAAGAGUUAAUGGUGUGGUUUUUAGUGAACAUUGCAAGGAAUGGUACUGGGUAUGGCAGGGAGAAAAGAAACACUUAGGGAGUGGCUGGAAAUACAGAUGUUUCACCAAAUCUUUCCAUUCAGUUUUAUUCUAGCAUUACUUUCUUGGGAUUGUGUUUUAAAAUUCUGCCACUCCUCUGCAUGAUUCCAGUGAUAUUGAACACAAUGUGUAGGGAUACAAUUUAGGUAGCAAUUUCAAUUGCAUAGCAUAGUACAGAGUGAUUUUAAAAGACAACAUGGUUUUAUUUGUGUCAAUUUAAUCAACGUAUUUAAUAUGCCACAAAUGUGUGUGUAACAUACGUAUACCUAUACUACCCUCAUUUAAUUUAUUUCAGUAUAGCCUAUUGAAAAAGUAAACGUCAUGAUCAAACAUUGCAGCGCAUGACUAUAGUCCAUACAUUGAGGAGGAAGCAGCUGGACCACAAAGGCAAGGGCAGUCUGGGUUACACAGUAUGAAGCCCAGGAAACCAGAGCUGGGGAGGUAGUUCAGUGGUUAAGAGCACUGGAUGCUCCCCAGAAGACCCAAAAACUGACUUCCCAUAGGCUCACAGUGGCUUAGAUCAUCUGUAACUUCAGUUUCAGUUGUCCAACACCCUCUUCUGGCUUCUGUGGACAACACCUGGGCACAAUUCAUUUUAUUUAUUUAUUAACACCAACAACAAAACAACUAAAGGCUUAGGAAAUUUAGCAGUAUCCCAAAGCCCUGAGUUCUUUUCCCAGCAUUAUAAGAACAAAGCCAAACAUGCACAAUUAGCCAUACUAACCACACAGGGUUUUUUUUUUUUUUUUCUUGUUUAAUUGAGUAAUUAGUUACUCCGAAUAUUUUUAUUUAUUUAUUUAUUUUUGGUUUUUUGAGGCAGGGUUUCUCUGCGAAGCUCUGGCUGUCCUGGAACUCAUUUGUAGACCAGGUUGGCCUCGAACUCAGAAAUCCGCCUGCCUCUCCCGCCCAAGUGCUAGGAUUAAAGGCGUCCGCCGCCACGCCUGGCUUACUCCAAAUAUUUUUAAGAAUUUUAAAACUAAAUGAAAUUAAACUCUAUUUAUAACUCAUGAAAGUCAUACUAUCUAGUAUAUAGAGUAUCUUCAUAUUUCUUUCUCUAUGUGACUGUACAGUAUUUGAAUUUAAAUGGACCUCUGCCUUAGAAGAUAUGGAAGAAUAUUCUUAAUCUAAUUUUUUAAAAAAAGAGAGAGCACAGGAGGUUCUAAAGCUCCAAUGCCCUGGAUUUCACAGACUUGGAAGAGUCUGAACUUGAAUCUACUGUGCUGACUCUAGCUGCUCACAGCUGCCACACAAGAAUGCUAGAGGUAGUCAUAAGUUCUGUUUGGUCCUCAGUUUUUACAAUGAGGGCAUGGCAAGAGGUUGACCGAUGUUCAUUUUCCAAAAUUAAUCCUAAGUACUUGCAGUAGUUCUUUAUAUCCUAUUGUCACAAUGCCCUCUUUCCUCUAUUAGAGAGCAUCAAUGAAUCUGAAGUCCUCCUGCAAUUCCCAACAUCAAUGGCUGCCACCACUAUGUUUGAAUUGACAUCUAGCAACAUCUAGUCAGUAGAAUUGCUGCUGUUAAAUGAAACCACUAAUUUCACUAAUUUACAGGCAGAUUAAAUGUUUCAGCUCUCUCUCUCUCUCUCUCUCUCUCUCUCUCUCUCUCUCUCACACACACACACACACACAGACACACACACAGACACACACACACAGACACACACACACACACACACACACACACACACACACACACACAGUUUUUGCCUUUUAUUUUCCAGUGUCUGUGCUUCCACUGACCCCACUUGUGAUCAGUACAAUAAUUUUCACUCAAUCAGACUUUGUUCCCUACCUGGUUUUUGUACUUAGUCAUCUCAAGGAUAAACACAUUGUUUCAGGAUUUCUCCAUUGAUUGAGUUGACCAGAUGACUUCACCAUUUGUGCAUCACAUAACUAUAAAUAAAAUUAUUUUCAAAGUUCUGUUCCUAUCUGUAGCUAAUUAGUGUUUAGGUAUUUACAAGAGUCUGUAAGAUCCACAUUCUGCAAAUCAGAAUAUGGUUGAGGUUGAAUUGGGCUGCAGAGAGAAGUAAAACAGAAAAGUAAGUGAUUAACUAGGAAUAUAGAGGCAUUGUAGGAAAUACAACAUGAACAUAAUUUUACCAAUGACAAAUUUUGGAAUUUAACCAUGGGUUACUACAAGAAAGAUAGUAGACAAAAUGGGGGGAAAGGAGUCAAGACAGGAAAUGGUCAACUAUCAGAAAAGUCACCAAUGAAGGAAUGAAAACCAAAAUAAAGGUGUGAUGAGAGAUGGUGGAAAUAUUGAAUGGUGAGGGAAAAGAGAGCAUGUGGGGAUGUGUUAGACAUCAGGAAGGCACAAUCUAGACACACUGGGAGAAAAGGUGAACGAUUUUAAGGUUCAACUCAUUGGUUUUUUGUUUUGUUUUGUUUUGUUUUGUUUUGUUUUGUUUUGUUUUUGCAUAGAAGGAAGCAGAAUAUACUGGAAAUGACAAUGACAAACAGGAAAAUAAUACUUCAAAUAUAAAAUUUAUAUGAGAAGAAGCAUUAUACAGGGUAGAAGGGUAAAUAGUGACUUGGAAGAGACUUGAUGUAUUAGCCCGAUCUAGCUAUUUCUCUUUCCCACAAUUCUUAGUCUACAGAUUUGCCAUGUUAAAUUUAAAACAGUGGCUGUAUCAUGUAGAGAGGUUCUAUGUGUUUAUAUAAAACAGCUUUUCCAAACCUUAUAGGAAAUCUAAAGGACUAUUUACGUGGCAAGAAUAAGACUGUACACUUAGAGCAGGGUAGUUUAAUAGCAUCAAAUAUAGGGCAGAUAGAUUUAUAUCAUUUCACUGUAAUAUAGUUAAAUAAGUGCUUCAAAUUCACAGCAGUACCUCUUCUAAAUUUAGUGCUCUGCUGGGGGCAGAAGGAGAGUUCUGCAGUUGUUCCCUGACCCACUUUUAAGCUGCUGAGGUGGGUCUCUAUGUCUUUUGAGGUCAGCACUUAGUAGUUACAGAGAAAGCUUUAUCUCAUUGGUGGUCUGCGGUUUUGGUUUAGAUCAUUUGUUUAAAUUGCUCAUACAGGAAACUAUUAACAUAUCUUCCACCCUUUUGAAGAAUUUGUUGCAUGUUGUACAGAAAGAUUUCUUUAUCCUCAAAAUUACAUGUCUCAAAUAUUUGUAAAGCACAGUGUUUCUUCUUUAGUCUCUGGCAUGCUAGAGUUGGAUAUACUUCCUUCCUUUCCCUUCCCUUCCCUUCCCUUCCCUUCCCUUCCCUUCCCUUCCCUUCCCUUCCCUUCCCUUCCCUUCCCUUCUCUUUCUUUCCCUUCCCUUCCCUUGAUCCUCAUAAGCCAUUGCUCACUUCAUCUUACUUGUUGCACUGGGACCCAUCUCAUUAGCCUACAUAUUUAUACAAAAGCUUCUGAUUUUCAAUAAAAAAAAAUACCAGUGAUAUGUUUACUUAAAGUCUGGAACAUACUAUUAUUAACUUCUAAUAAUUUGAAACUGACAGUAAAUUUUUAAUAUGCUACUUGUUUAUUUGAUUUUUCUAGGAGGUGACCUCUUUCUAUAUAAUGCUGUAUCUUAUACAUUUGAUUUCAUUGUAAUUUUACUUAACAGUUUCAAUUUUGUGCUUGCUGUAUUUGUUAAAUUUUUAUUUCUCCUGACAUGAAUAUUUGAAUACUGAGCUUCAUUUCCAAAAGAUGUUACCAGGAUAUUUGUUGCAUUUUUAUCAUGGUUAUCUAUGUACAUGCAUGCGUAUACAUGUGUACAGAUUCUUAAGGUGAAUAUUAAAUUUCACAUUUCUUCUUUUGAGAUCUUAAAACCAUCACUCACAUCUAUUUGUAUAUAAUUUUAUCUACUUCUAUAUCUAUUUCUGGUUGUCUCCCAUGUUCUGCUAUAUUUAUUUUCGAGAACAUUAUUCAGUUGAAACUGCAUAGUCACAGAGAGAAUUGCUAAUAAAUUGUCUUCUCUGAAGAAUCUGUGCUCUAACCAAGACAUGCAUACAUACCUACCUACACACACACACACACACACACACACACACACACACACACAAUAUUUCCAAAUAGUCUAGAUCAUAAAAUUUUACCUAAUCACUUUUAAAUUCACUUAAUAUAUUUUGUCCUGUGUUCUGAAGCUUGAAGAAGACAAAAUAAAACACUUUUAUAUUACAUAAAGUAUAUAAAUCCCCAAUACCUGUGUAUUAGCAGGAAACAGUUAAUAUUUGCUCAAUUUAUUCAUACAUGGCAUAGUUUUUCUAUACGUUUCUAAUUUAUGAACAUGUUUUACAAAAGAGAUUUACGUUCUAUCUUUACCUAACUGCACAAAAAUAAUUGUGAUUGUAUGUGAAGAAAUAGAGAACUUCAAAUGUAAUUAUACAGAGCAGAGUUGAUAAAAGUAUACAACAAAAUCAAAAUACCUAGGGGAAUUUUUAAUUGUUGGGUAGAGGCUACAGUUAGAUUUUUCAUCUAUUUCCAGUGCCAUGACAACCAGUGCCUUAAAAUGCAUGAGCAAUAACUUUCCUGUGUCCACCAUGUCUCUUCCACCCCUGCCCAUGCCCUUGCACCUGCUGAACCCAAAAGUUCCUGGCUGAGAACAACAGAUAGCACCUGGAAGCUGUGUCUGCCCAGCUUGGAAACAACGCUGUUUAGAGUUAGUUGUGUGUGUAAUGGCAAUCUGGAUGUCACUGCAAGUGCUGUCUACUACCUUAGGCAACAACACUCCUACUGUUUUUAAAUGUUCCUGUGGUUCUGAAACGAUAUAUGUACUGUGACCUCAAUAAUUGUGUCAUUUACACACUAAGCUUAAAAUUGUAAAAGGAAAUAUAUUUCUAGAGAGGUCUGCAAAGAGUAAAAAUAUAGCAUUUGUUUUUUCAAAUGGUAAGACACCUUAGAAAGUUUUUUUCAUAUCUUUUAAAUUUAGAGAAUAAAACUAAUCUCUUACUCUUAUUUUCUUAUUUUAAAGCUUUAUUACUUUUGACUGCACAGCAAUUAUAUGGUUGUUACAAUAAAACUAUUUUAUUAUGGCAUUUGUUGGCAUUCUGCAGAGACUUUAAAUAUUUGAAAAUAAUAUAUUUGCCAUGCAGAUUAUUGUUUCUCUUUUAUUUUGAUAAAUUAUAUAUACCAUAGAAUUUUCUGUUAAUGUAUAUUAGGCAUAGUAGCAAUUCCAUCUUCAUUACUAACUUCAACUUUUAAAGAUAAUUUAUAUACAAAUAAAGUAAUGCAUUUUCUUUUUAAAA